UACGGAGGGUGCAAGCGUUGUUCGGAAUUACUGGGCGUAAAGCACGCGUAGGCGGCUUGGUAAGUUGGGAGUGAAAUCCCGAGGCUUAACCUCGGAAUUGCUUUCAAAACUAUCAAGCUAGAGUAUGGCAGGGGACAGUGGAAUUCCUAGUGUAGAGGUGAAAUUCGUAGAUAUUAGGAGGAACACCAGUGGCGAAAGCGACUGUCUGGACCAUUACUGACGCUGAGGCGUGAAAGCGUGGGGAGCAAACAGG
rnacentral:rRNA from 1 species